UAAAGCUUUUUGCGGGGAAACUUGCAAGUACAGUUUGGGGGGAAGUAAAAGAAGAAAUGGUCGCCGCUGCGAGAGAGAAACUUGUCUGGUCUUGCGGUGCACUCUUUCCCGU
rfam:Ipomoea nil DNA, scaffold: scaffold2422, cultivar: Tokyo-kokei standard.